AUUGAACGCUGGCGGCAGGCCUAACACAUGCAAGUCGAGCGAGCGGCGGACGGGUGAGUAAUGUAUGGGGACUGCCCUAUAGAGGGGGGUAACUUCUGGAAACGGUGGCUAAUACCCCGUACUGUAGUCUAACCCAUAUGGGAGUAGCUAGUAGGUAAGGUAAUGGCUUACCUAGGCGACGAUCCCUAGCUGGUCUGAGAGGAUGAUCAGCCACACUGGGACUGAGACACGGCCCAGACUCCUACGGAGGCAGCAGUGGGGAAUAUUGCACAAUGGGCGCAAGCCUGAUGCAGCCAUGCCGCGUGUAUGAAGAAGGCCCUAGGGUUGUAAAGUACUUUCAGUCGGGAGGCGUUACCGACAGAAGAAGCACCGGCUAACUCCGUGCCAGCAGCCGCGGUAAUAC
rnacentral:rRNA from 1 species